GACGAACGCUGGCGGCGUGCUUAACACAUGCCGGUCGAACGGAAAGGCCCUGCUUUUGUGGGGUGCUCGAGUGGCGAACGGGUGAGUAACACGUGAGUAACCUGCCCUUGACUUUGGGAUAACUUCAGGAAACUGGGGCUAAUACCGGAUAGGAGCUCCUGCUGCAUGGUGGGGGUUGGAAAGUUUCGGCGGUUGGGGAUGGACUCGCGGCUUAUCAGCUUGUUGGUGGGGUAGUGGCUUACCAAGGCUUUGACGGGUAGCCGGCCUGAGAGGGUGACCGGCCACAUUGGGACUGAGAUACGGCCCAGACUCCUACGGGAGGCAGCAGUGGGGAAUAUUGCACAAUGGGCGGAAGCCUGAUGCAGCAACGCCGCGUGCGGGAUGACGGCCUUCGGGUUGUAAACCGCUUUCGCCUGUGACGAAGCGUGAGUGACGGUAAUGGGUAAAAAAGCACCGGCUAACUACGUG
rnacentral:rRNA from 1 species